rnacentral:rRNA from 1 species
AGAGUUUGAUCCUGGCUCAGGACGAACGCUGGCGGCGUGCCUAAUACAUGCAAGUAGAACGCUGAAGAGAGGAGCUUGCUCUUCUUGGAUGAGUUGCGAACGGGUGAGUAACGCGUAGGUAACCUGCCUUGUAGCGGGGGAUAACUAUUGGAAACGAUAGCUAAUACCGCAUAACAAUGGAUGACUCAUGUCAUUUAUUUGAAAGGGGCAAAUGCUCCACUACAAGAUGGACCUGCGUUGUAUUAGCUAGUAGGUGAGGUAACGGCUCACCUAGGCGACGAUACAUAGCCGACCUGAGAGGGUGAUCGGCCACACUGGGACUGAGACACGGCCCAGACUCCUACGGGAGGCAGCAGUAGGGAAUCUUCGGCAAUGGGGGCAACCCUGACCGAGCAACGCCGCGUGAGUGAAGAAGGUUUUCGGAUCGUAAAGCUCUGUUGUAAGUCAAGAACGAGUGUGAGAGUGGAAAGUUCACACUGUGACGGUAGCUUACCAGAAAGGGACGGCUAACUACGUGCCAGCAGCCGCGGUAAUACGUAGGUCCCGAGCGUUGUCCGGAUUUAUUGGGCGUAAAGCGAGCGCAGGCGGUUUGAUAAGUCUGAAGUUAAAGGCUGUGGCUCAACCAUAGUUCGCUUUGGAAACUGUCAAACUUGAGUGCAGAAGGGGAGAGUGGAAUUCCAUGUGUAGCGGUGAAAUGCGUAGAUAUAUGGAGGAACACCGGUGGCGAAAGCGGCUCUCUGGUCUGUAACUGACGCUGAGGCUCGAAAGCGUGGGGAGCGAACAGGAUUAGAUACCCUGGUAGUCCACGCCGUAAACG